rnacentral:rRNA from 1 species
UACGUAGGGACCAAGCGUUGUUCGGAUUUACUGGGCGUAAAGGGCGCGUAGGCGGCAUGACAAGUCACUUGUGAAAUCUCCGGGCUUAACUCGGAACGGUCAAGUGAUACUGUCGCGCUAGAGUGCGGAAGGGGCAAUCAGAAUUCUUGGUGUAGCGGUGAAAUGCGUAGAUAUCAAGAGGAAUACCUGAGGUGAAGACGGGUUGCUAGGCCGACACUGACGCUGAAGCGCGAAAGCCCAGGGGGAGCAAACGGG